rnacentral:rRNA from 1 species
UACGGAGGGGGCUAGCGUUGUUCGGAAUUACUGGGCGUAAAGCGCGCGUAGGCGGACCUGCAAGUCGGGGGUGAAAGCCCGGGGCUUAACCCCGGGUCUGCAUUCGAUACGGGCAGGCUAGAGUGUGGUAGGGGAGAUGGAAUUCCUGGUGUAGCGGUGGAAAUGCGCAGAUAUCAGGAGGAACACCGGUAGGCGAAGGCGGAUCUCUGGGCCAUACUGCGUGAGGAGCGAAAGCGUGGGGAGCGAACAGG